AAUCAACGCUGGCGGCGUGCCUCAGACAUGCAAGUCGAACGAUUAAAGCUCUCUUCGGAGAGUGCAUAGAGUGGCGCACGGGUGAGUAACACGUAAGUAAUCUACCUUCGAGUGGGGAAUAACGUCCGGAAACGGACGCUAAUACCGCAUAAUGCAGCGGCAUCGCAAGAUGACAGUUGUUAAAGAUUUAUCGCUUGAAGAGGAGCUUGCGGCAGAUUAGCUAGUUGGUAAGGUAAUGGCUUACCAAGGCUACGAUCUGUAACCGGUCUAAGAGGACGGUCGGUCACACUGACACUGAAUAACGGGUCAGACUCCUAC
rnacentral:rRNA from 1 species